rnacentral:miRNA from 1 species
UAGUCCCUUCCUUGAAGCCGUC